GCCAAGGAAUGCGGGCAGCGCCCAGAAGGUGGGACAGGCAGGAAAACAGAUUCUCCCUUAGAGCCUCCAGAAGGAAAUGCAGCCUUACUAACACCUAGAUUUUGGUCCAGUGUGACCCAUUUCAGACUUCUGAGCUGUGAGAUAAUAAAGAUGCAUUGUUUUGAGCCACCCAGUUGCUGGUCGUUUGUUCCAACAGCCCUAGGAACUCACACAGAUCCAGAGCCUUAGAUGUCAUGUUGUCCUUGAUGUCUUUGCAGUGGAACACCAUUACUCUACUGUCCAUUCAGUUCGGAGCCAAACGGAAUGAAAAUCUGCCUACUUGCAAUUUCUACCCAUGCGUUCUGUUCUGACCACUGCAGCAACUCACACGAGGUCUUUUGUUACCCUGGUUGGUCACCUUUGGACACACUCAGGUGUGUUAAUGAACCAUGAAGGGUCGAGCCCAGCACUGGACACCGCCUCCACCGUGACCUGAUGACACUGGAUCCAAUGUUAUUGUCUCUGUGCAGAGCUAUCUUGUUCUGAUAAUGAAGCUCGGAUGGGACUUGCCCUCUGGCAGCCUUUCAACAUAGUGGGCCACGCGGAGCCUAAAAUCAGCUUUAAAACCCAACUCCCUCCUCUGGUCAGAUCAUAUAUUCCAGGGACUCUGAUUAUUUGGAUUCCACUUCGUGACUAAAAAAUGUUGACACCAACAGAACAGCACCAACUUUUAAAAACUGUCACGAGGAAGGAUCUCUGAAAGAGACAGAGGACUAGAGGAAAAUGGUACCAGCUGGAAGGUCAGAUCUACACAAUGUAGAAUUUUAGAACUAGUAAUAAAUAUGUGGUUAAGUGUAAAAGCGUUUUCAAAAGUCAUUUUAAAAUUUCUUUAAAGAAUAAAGCUUCACAUCCUUGUCAACACUUGGUAUUUCCAAUCCUUUUUAAUCUUAGCCAUUCUGGUGAGGGUGCGGCAGUGCUAUGCCACUGUCGUUUUAACAUUAAACAUUUAUUAAAUGCAUACGUGACAUGCUUAUAAAAUGGAGUAUUAGCUGUAAAUGAAGGUUUUCAAAGGAGGUUUAAUAUUCUGGGGAUAUGCUUAUGAUAUGCUAAAGAUGAAAAAUAAUAUAUAAACUCUGUGUACAGUAUACUUUUGUUUUUAUUUUAAUAUAUACAUAUUAAUAAAGAGGACUGAAAGAAAUUCACCAAGAUAUCAGGGCAGACCUUGCUUUAUUGCGCUUCACAGAUGUCGCUUUUUUAAACAAAUCGAAGGUUCGUGGCAACCCUGCCUCAAGCAAGUCUGUCGGCGCCGUUUUUCCGACAGCAUUGGUUCCCCUCGUGCCUCUGUGCUACAUUUUGGUAAUUCUCUCAAUAUUUCAAACAUAUCAUUAUUAUAUUUGUUAUGAUGAUCUGUGAUCAGUGACCCUUGAUGUUACUACUAUGACUCCCUGAAGGCUUGGAUGAUGGAUAGCACUUUUAAGCAAUGAAGUAUUUUUUAAUUAA